UACAGAGGGGGCAAGCGUUGUUCGGAAUUACUGGGCGUAAAGGGCGCGUAGGCGGCCAACUAAGUCGGACGUGAAAUCCCCGGGCUCAACCCGGGAACUGCGUCCGAUACUGGAUGGCUUGAAUCCGGGAGAGGGAUGUGGAAUUCCAGGUGUAGCGGUGAAAUGUGUAGAGAUCGGGAGGAACACCGGUGGCGAAGGCGGGUCUCUGGGCAAUUCCUGACGCUGAGGCGCGAAAGCGUGGGGAGCAAACGGG
rnacentral:rRNA from 1 species